UACGUAGGGUGCAAGCGUUGUCCGGAAUUAUUGGGCGUAAAGGGCUCGUAGGCGGUCCAUCACGUCGGGAGUGAAAAGCUGGGGCUUAACCCCAGUCCUGCUUCCGAUACGGGUGGACUAGAGGUAGGUAGGGGAGAACGGAAUUCCUGGUGUAGCGGUGAAAUGCGCAGAUAUCAGGAGGAACACCGGUGGCGACGGCGGUUCUCUGGGCCUUACCUGACGCUGAGGAGCGAAAGCGUGGGGAGCAAACAGG
rnacentral:rRNA from 1 species